rnacentral:tRNA from 1 species
GCGUCAAUAGCUCAGUGGUAGAGUGUAGGAUUGCAGUUGUCUCGCAACCCCAUCCCGAGGUCCUCGGUUCGACCCCGAGUUGGCGCU